UUACAGAUUGAUUUUGAUUCAAAUGACAUUCAUAGAUUAUAAUGUGCUGCUUACAUAAAUAAUCUAAAUGACUAAUCGAUCUUCUUUCAAUUUCUGUUUUUAUAUAUAUAUAUAUAUCAGUAGUCCGUAAAUUGGAUUCAACAUUCUAAUACUCAGGCUCAUUUACUUUAUUUUGACAACGAAAUGCCAACUAGAAAAAAAAACAUAUAUAUACUUAAGAAGAC
rnacentral:lncRNA from 1 species